rnacentral:lncRNA from 1 species
CAGGAGUUGGAGACCAUCCUGGGCAACAAAGUAAGACCCCAUCUCUACAAAAAAAAAAAAAUCUGUUUUUAAUUAGCUGGGGUUGGUGGCCCACACCUGUAGUCCCAACUACUCAGGAUACUAAGGCAGAAAGAUUGCUUGCACCCAGGAGUUCAAGACUGCAGUGAGCUAUUAUUGUGCCACUGCACUCCAGCCUGGGUGACAGAAUGAGACCAUAUCUCUUAAAAGAAAGAAAGAAAAUAACAAAAAUAGCUAUUUGAAAACUACUGGCCACUAACACACAAUUUCAAAGAAAUUUUGUAUGUAUUAUGUUAUAUUAUGUAAUGUAGCAAUUAAGGACUGGCCUUCAAGAGGAGUCAGAAAAAGUUUGUGUUCAAAAUUUAACUCUGCUUCUUACUUAACUCGGAUGACAUCAGGCAAGUUGCUUAACUUCCUUUAGCUCAGUUUACUUGUCUAUAAAAUAAGGAUAACUCUAAUACUUCAGCAGUAACUUUUUUUAAUUUUAAUUUUUUUGUACAGACAACAUCUCCCUAUGUAGCCCAGACUGAUCUCAAACUCCUGGUCUCAAAUGAUCCUCCCACCUUGGCCUCUCGACGCACUGGGAUUACAGGUGUGAGCAACUGUACCCAGCUGGUAAUCUUAAAAAAAAGAAUUCAAGAAAAUUCCUCUUCCUUAAUCACAGAUAGAUAA